AUCAGUUGUCUAUGGUAGCAUCUUUUAUUUUUAUAUUUUGACUUAACAUAAGUUGACUGAUGUUCAUAGGACUGGAACUGAGCCUCACUUUUGUACACACAAGCAGUCUUAAUCUUGCACACUUGAGACCCACUUAAACAGAACUGUUAAAGCAAAUACCAAGUUGUAUGAAAAAGCGAAACAAUAUGGCACUGUGAAUUUUGAAGUUCAAAGCAAUAUAAUAAUGUUAUGUUCACCCGCAGAUUCCCAUCCUUUUAAGGAACCCAUAUGCAUUUGUGUUCCUGCAUUAACAGUGCAGGACUGGGAUCGACUGCUGGAACUUUCUCCGUUGUUCCAUCAGCUCAAACAGGUGGAGGAGCAGCUGAGGGACAGAGCCCGGCAGGGGGGGCUGCUGGCGGAACAUCUGCCUGAUAGGGGGUGUCCUUUUGUAGAUGUAUUGGAUGCUCAGUGGGAGUGUGAGGGGGAGCUGGUGCCACUAAGUCCGGACUCCCUGAAUCCUCGUGAGUUCUUGGUGUACCAGCAUGGGUUGUUUCUCUUGCGCACCCUCCACUCACAUGCUGAGAUUCCAGCUGUCACACUGCAAGUGGCCAGCAGCCUUCCCUUUAACAACUACCAUCACAAUGCCUUCCGCAAUUCCUUCUUCUAUCAGGAAGCAGAGAAGAACCUGUUUGUGCGUCGCCAGCGGUUAUGGUCUGAGGGAGGUUUCUCGCUGCUGCUCCUCCAUUGUGUGUCUCACAUUGCUGUGGGAAACUUGUGCACUGACAACACUGACUUUCAAAGGGUCUUCUUCCAGGUGUUGCAGCUGUGCCUCAGUGAAUACUUCCUGAUCAGACUUGGUGCCCCAUUAGAUCCUCGAGCAGAUGCACUAUGGGAUGCUGCGCAGAAUCCAGACCAGUGUACCCAGUCAGCCCUGCUCCCCUUGCUGGUGGAGAGGGUGCAGAAGCCAGCUCAUGGUCCUUUCUCCAGAGAACAGGUGCUGAAGCAGCUUCAGAGACACCGGGAGACUUCUGGCCUGUGGCAUCUGGAGAACUUGCUGAGAGAGACGAGAUCAGAAGUCAGAAAAGGGUGGCAGAAGCCUCUCUCAUAAACACUAUGGUGAGGGCCAAAACCACAGCCACCAUAUCCAUUAGCCAACAGUUUAGCUCUGUAAUAUUAACUUAUUUCAAAAGGACUGAAAAAUUGCAUGGGUUGAGCAUUUUCCAAAUACAUUCCAACAUGUAUGUAUAUAUUUCGAUACCAGUCAUUUUAAAAUAAACUGACUAACUAACUAACUCA
rnacentral:lncRNA from 1 species